GUGUGUCAAUGGCAUCUCUAACUGAUCUUUCAUUCAACUGGACAAGCUUCAUUAGUGCCAUGAUUUCCAACAUCUCCUUCACUUACAGGAGCAUCUAUUCAAAGAAAGCCAUGGUCCGACAAUAUCUCUCUCUAUUCUUUAUAUCUGGAUUCUAAAAUGUAUCUAUCUGUCAAAUGAAGAUUGACCCCUUGUUUGUUGUAGACUGACAUGGACAACACCAAUAUCUACGCCUACAUUUCCAUUGUUGCACUCAUUGUUUGCAUUCCACCAACAAUUAUUGUGAGUGGUUCUUCAAUCUCAUGCAUGAAAUUAAAAAAUGUGAAAAUGUGCUGGGCCUUGCAAUGCUAGCUUGGCUCCUCCUUUUUAAAAUGCAGAUUUUGUAGAUUUCUAAAAUCAUGCCUUGCUUUAUCUGAUUGGCAACCUUCAAACAGAUAGUGAAAAGGAAUAUUUUACACCUAAUUCAAUGGGAGAAUAUUACCAGAACCUACCAUUUUCUGAAUCAUAGGGAAAUUAACCCUUUUGCAGCAACAAUUUCAGAAAAUUUUGAGAAUAGUCUAGUUAUUAACUCCUCUUUUGUGAUGAUGUUACACAUAUCAAUUGCUAAAUUUCCAUUGACUUUGUGAAACUACACAUCCAAAUUGUCCAACUGUCUUUUUAGUGGAAAACAAUUUCCAAGCACGCAUGGAUUUUGUGUAUCCAAAGAUGCCUUAAAAAGCAAAACCCAACAUAAUUUACCAUUUUUCAAUUAUUCCUUAAUCAUGGGUUCUCACUUUCCAUUUGUCUUACUAUUCUUGCUAUAGGUUGCGCCAUACAAGAAAAUACGACGAGUAACUUUCGUAAACUCGAUACGAAAAUCCAUUGCUGGAAAGAUCUUGAGGGAGCUGGUAAUCAUUUUAAGGUUUGGGGCCUCUUGAUCUAUGAAAGGAAAUGCACAUCUUAUUUCUUUGAUGUGAAUAGUGGAAGUCUCAAUUGCUCAUCAAUAGAACUUUUGUGAAAUUUCCAUUCUUUAUAGUGUUAUUAUAGUCAUUUUUUGUGAUUUCCAUUCUAAUUUACACUUCCUUUUUUUCUAUUUGCAUUUUUUCCCUUUCUUUUGUGAUCCCUUUCAACCAGGAUCAUAAGCUUUGCAUAGGUUUGGAUAAUGGCCUCCCAGAGGGAUGUAUUUGGCUUGUCAGGACCCGGGCAUCUGACCCAUAUUGAUUGGUAAGGCUCUCUCUCUCUCUCUCUCUCUCUCUCUCUCUCUCUCUCUCUCUCUCUCUCUCUCUCUCUCUCUCUCUCUCUCUCUCUCUGAAAUGUAAACAGACUGGAAUUUUUUGAAAACUCAUGAACCAUCUUGACUCUUGAAGGUGAUUGAGAUUUUCUGUAUUCCACCAUUCAUAGGAAAAUCUUCCAUAUUUUGACAAAUUUGGUGUGCAGGAAGAUACAUACUCUGUUCUUCUGUUCAUUUCAUGGGGUAUUUGAAACCACAUGCUGAAAGAAUAAAAUCAGAAGACUUGGACCUUUAUCAAAUAAAAGAAUAAAGACACUACACACUGACUUGCAACUUAUUGAGAUGCUCUUGCUUGAUAUGUCAUGGUAGAGAUUCAGGAUGGAAACUAAGAACCACAACAAAUGUUUUUUGGGAAACUUGCACUUUCAUUUACUAAGUUUCCGCUCACUCCUUGUGGGAGAGCACAUCCUCCUUUGUAUAAAAGGGUGGUUUCCACAUCUAUCCUAACUUAACCAAACCACACCAUAUUCAUUUGCUUUGCAUUCUUGCUCUCUUUGGACUUCAGUUUUAUGGCCCCUUUUCACUGAACAUUUUUCAUUUUCCAUCCUUCUCUUUUUAAAAUUUUUUGAAAUGUUGAUAGGUUCUUAGGGCUUGGGGAUUGGGCUGGGAAAUUUUGAUGGAUGGGAUGGAGGUUACACAAUUCACAUGCUUCUAGCAGGCUGGAAGUCUUCUAUUGCUGCCCAUUUCUAUGGAAGUUACUUAUGGCCUUAAGUGUAUCCUCAUGUUUCUUCACAUCAACUUAGUGUUUUCAUAUCAGUAGCCAUACGCUAUAAAAUUCCUUUUUUUCCAGGGCUGAUGUAGAUGAUAUAUAAAUGGCAGGGGGUUUGAUCAUUUCAAGAAAAUUCAAACCAUCUUUUUUGUUACUGCUUUAAACUUGGUUUCUGCAUUUUACAACAAGGGAGUUGUAUUUUAGUGCUUUCCUGUAAUAUUGGCAUCGUUUUGAUUGAUUAAAUUAUAUGGUGGUCUGACCUUGGGUACUAUU